UAUACAUAUAUUCAAACUCGAGAUUCUAGGUAGUCUCGCGCAUGCCAGACUUGACAAUUCAGGAUGUAUCGACAUUAAACAAAUAGAGUAAGAAUAGAAUACUCUAUAAUAUGUCGUCAUACGGGUGCAUACCCCAAAGACUCGCUUGGAUGUCAGAUAUACACCCAUGCAGUAUAUUCACUGCAUAUCCUUCCUAGCCUUCGAUAUAUGUUGUCCACAUUUCUAGCUCAACCCCAUCUCUGAAUCACCGGAAAUUUGCUUUAAUCUGUGAAACUUUGAUCUCUGCAUAGUUGGCUGGAAGCUCUGUUUUCUUAGCAAUUUGGGUCAUAUUUUCUAAUUUGGCUGAAUUUAUCUGCUUGAGCUCCAGAAAUGUCUAUGAAGUCAGAUAAUGGGUUAGAGAGGAAGGUGUUGUAUGACCCACUUUACAGUCCAAGGCCUCUGCAGAAUAACAACAAUAAUAGUCAGGUCAGAAAGCUGUUUGAUGAUUUCAGUGUUGCAAAUCAUGUGCACUUUUUGAGGCCACCGUUGGUCUCAGGGAAUACUAGCACUCUGCUGCAGAAGCAGAACAAGGAAGAAAGCCUUAAAAAAUGAGCUUGGCUUAUUCUUCUUUUGCUGCUCAAAUGGUUGUAAUGACUUUAAGGUGUGGUCAUGGUGUAUUUACAUUGUGUAUAUAAUUCUCAGAAUUGCAUGUAGGAGUCUUUCUAUGUACAUAAGUUUGUCUUCAAACUUUGUGUUACGGCCAGGUGAAAAUAUGUCACUGAUGGGAUUGUGAUAAAUUUUCAAGGCACUUCAGCUUUACAUUAAAUAUAUCAAAGUGUUAAUUA